GCAAACUUGGUCAUUUAGAGGAAGUAAAAGUCGUAACAAGGUUUCCGUAGGUGAACCUGCGGAAGGAUCAUUAUUGAAACAAAAUCAAGUAGACUGUUGCUGGUUUUCUUUCAGAAGCAUGUGCACGUCUAUUUUAUUUUCAAUUCUCCUGUGCACUAUCGGUGGAUCUUUGCACGACACACAAAACAAGUGAUUAUUAUUGCUUCAAAGAAAUUUAUUUUUCUUUGAUCAGAGAGGCCUGCUGUUUUAAUGUUGUUAUACAGACAGCUCUUCUUGUCAAUCAUUGUGUUGUGUUGUUCUGGAAGAUCUUGCCGCUUUACAAUCAUAUACACUGUCGUAUCAGAAUGUUUUUGUUAUGUCAAAAUAAUGAUCAUAUAACUUUCAACAACGGAUCUCUUGGCUCUCGCAUCGAUGAAGAACGCAGC
rnacentral:misc_RNA from 1 species